AGAGACAGCAGUAGCCGCGGUAAUACGUAGGUGGCAAGCGUUGUCCGGAAUUAUUGGGCGUAAAGCGCGCGCAGGCGGAUCAGUUAGUCUGUCUUAAAAGUUCGGGGCUUAACCCCGUGAUGGGAUGGAAACUGCUGAUCUAGAGUAUCGGAGAGGAAAGUGGAAUUCCUAGUGUAGCGGUGAAAUGCGUAGAUAUUAGGAAGAACACCAGUGGCGAAGGCGACUUUCUGGACGAAAACUGACGCUGAGGCGCGAAAGCCAGGGGAGCGAACGGGAUUAGAUACCCCCGUAGUCCCUGUCUCUUAUACA
rnacentral:rRNA from 1 species